rnacentral:rRNA from 1 species
UACGAAGGGGGCUAGCGUUGCUCGGAAUCACUGGGCGUAAAGGGUGCGUAGGCGGGUCUUUAAGUCAGGGGUGAAAUCCUGGAGCUCAACUCCAGAACUGCCUUCGAUACUGGAAAGCUCGAGUCCGGGAGAGGUGAGUGGAACUGCGAGUGUAGAGGUGAAAUUCGUAGAUAUUCGCAAGAACACCAGUGGCGAAGGCGGCUCACUGGCCCGGUACUGACGCUGAGGUGACGAAAGCGUGGGGAGCAAACAGGAUUGAGAUACC